GAUGAACGCUGGCGGCGUGCCUAAUACAUGCAAGUCGAGCGAACGGACGAGAAGCUUGCUUCUCUGAUGUUAGCGGCGGACGGGUGAGUAACACGUGGAUAACCUACCUAUAAGACUGGGAUAACUUCGGGAAACCGUAGCUAAUACCGGAUAAUAUUUUGAACCGCAUGGUUCAAAAGUGAAAGACGGUCUUGCUGUCACUUAUAGAUGGAUCCGCGCUGCAUUAGCUAGUUGGUAAGGUAACGGCUUACCAAGGCAACGAUGCAUAGCCGACCUGCGAGGGUGAUCGGCCACACUGGAACUGAGACACGGUCCAGACUCCUACGGGAUGCAGCAGUAGUGAAUCUUCCGCAAUGGGCGAAAGCCUGACGGAGCAACGCCGCGUGAGUGAUGAAGGUCUUCGGAUCGUAAAACUCUGUUAUUAGGGAAGAACAUAUGUGUAAGUAACUGUGCACAUCUUGACGGUACCUAAUCAGAAAGCCACGGCUAACUACGUG
rnacentral:rRNA from 1 species